rnacentral:rRNA from 1 species
CCUACGGGAGGCAGCAGUGGGGAAUAUUGCACAAUGGGGGAAACCCUGAUGCAGCGACGCCGCGUGAAGGAAGAAGUAUCUCGGUAUGUAAACUUCUAUCAGCAGGGAAGAUAGUGACGGUACCUGACUAAGAAGCCCCGGCUAACUACGUGCCAGCAGCCGCGGUAAUACGUAGGGGGCAAGCGUUAUCCGGAUUUACUGGGUGUAAAGGGAGCGCAGGCGGUGCGGCAAGUCUGAUGUGAAAGCCCGGGGCUCAACCCCGGUACUGCAUUGGAAACUGUCGUACUAGAGUGUCGGAGGGGUAAGCGGAAUUCCUAGUGUAGCGGUGAAAUGCGUAGAUAUUAGGAGGAACACCAGUGGCGAAGGCGGCUUACUGGACUGAAACUGACACUGAGGCACGAAAGCGUGGGGAGCAAACAGGAUU